GGGAGGCGGCUUGCGGGUCGCCAGCGCCACCUGGAGGGCGGAGGGGCAAGCGCAGGCGCGCUCCCUCCCCCUCUGCGCGUGCGCUGCGGGCUCUGCCCGCGGGACGCUGCCAACCCGGCCGGACCCACCCAGCUCAACAGGUGACCCACCCACCCGGCUGUCCCCCUGACGGUGCCGCCGAGUCAAAAAGCACGGCUCCUGUCUGAAGUUUGCUCUUGGGACAGAUUAACAGAGAGCUGACUGACACGGAAGGAUAUGGGAGAAAAGGCCUAAGGAUUACAGAGGAUGGGAGAGAGGUACAUCCAGCCAGGACUGGCCGUGUUGAAGCUUGAAGGCAAGACAAUCAGAGGUGCAGUGAAGUGGAAAACUUGGCAGGGCCUUGAAGAUCGUAUCAGAAAUAAAGGAUUCUAACUGGGCGUGAUGGUGUACACCUUUAAUCCUUUGAGUUUGAAGCCAGCUGGAUCUACAUAGCAAGUUCAAAGCCAGGCAGGGCUACAGAGUGAGACCCUGUCUCAAGAUUAAUCGAUUAACUUAAAAAAAUAAAGAACUUUCUCUUUAAGGCAGUGAGAAUGUUAACAAGAUCCAAAAUAUCUGGGGCAAGUUCUGGGGCAGUGAGACCCGUGACAGUGGAGUGGCCAGGUCCAGAAUACUAAGUUAAAUCUGAAUUUGAGAAAAACAGUUCGAGGGCUGGAGAGAUGGCUCUGCAGUUAGAACACUGGCUGCUCUUCCAGGGGACCAGGGUUGAGCCCCAGCACCCACAUGGUGGCCCACAAACAUCUGUAACUCCAGUGUCAGCGGAUCCAAAGGCCUCUGAGGUCACUGCACACACAUGGUACACAAACAUACAUGCAAGCAAAAACACCUAUACACAUAAAAUAAAAAUAAAAUAUCUUAAAAGAAAAUCAAUGUAUUUAUGCAUAUAUCUAGUAUAAGUAUGUCCCAUGCAAUUUGGGGGACAUACACUACUUAUAUAUAUCUGGACAUUUAUCUGAGUGCCCUAUAUACUGAUCUGCUGUAGAUAUCUAAGCCACUUGGUCAUAAGAGUACAUGUCCAUGGUCCUAGGCUACUGCCUGGAAAGACGCAGAGAUGUCAUAGGCUGCCUACCUGUCCGAAGAUGUAAGACAACAUCCUCCAAUUAAAGUUAUCAGAACUAAAGCAGGUCUGUUUCCUCUACACCAGCUUUCUCGAUGCAUUCAAAAUUCAAGGGAAAAGAAUUUUCCUCUGGGAAUUAUAGCCUUAAAAAAUUCUCUUUCGAGUGUCUUCUUCACUCAUGCUUAAAUGAAAAGCCAACAUCCAAAGUAAAUAAGCCUCCACGAAGAACUGCCCGCUCUGGACCACUUCUGUUUUGUGUGAAGAAAUCUUAUUUUUGCAUGGCCUUUCUUUGUACUAAAAAGAAAAGUGAGAGGGUUGGCAUAAUUAUGGUUCUGAUGAAUUGAAUGAACAGUUUACCAGAAGAGGAACUGGACUGUUAGAGGGUAUAAACUACAUUUUCAGGUCAAAUUCACUUGGAGAACUGUUUGGGCUAUCUGGGUUGUUUUUGUACGGGAAACUACACUCAUUCAAAAAUCUCAGUCUCGGUGAACAUGAUAGUGUACACCUGUGAAGUACUUGGGAUGUUGAGGCAAGAAGAUUGUGAGUUCAAAGAGACUGGCAUGGAGUAGAACUUCUCAGUGAGAGCCCGGGGCAGUUGUCUCCACAAGCAGGGGAGAUGGCAGGGAGGUCAGCAAACCCAUUCCAAGAUGGAAAGGUCGCGAGGGGACUGCUUUCUGGGCAUACGUGGCUGGGACAGAUCACCACUGCUGUUCUCACAUACUUGCACACCGACUCAUCACGCUGCUGGAGAAAUAACCAAAAGCCACACUCUGGAAUCACGGGCAGCGGCAGCCUUGUUCCCGCAAUGGUCCUUUGUUGCCCUCUACUGGCCACGCUUAAUACCAUACCCACGGCAAAGGCGAUCCCCGUAAACACACCGGAGGUACAAAUUUAGAGCAGAAAGUCAACAAUUGAUGACUGGCACAAAGCACUGAAGGCCAUUCUGGCCUACACAAUUAGAACUUAUCGAAACAAACAAACAUCCCAUUUCCCCUCCACUCUCAUGCCGUAAUAAACGCAGAAAACUUGUGACCUCAAAACCUGUGAGGAAGCCAGGUGGUGGUGGUGGUGGUGCAUGCUUUUAAUCCCAGCACUGAAGAGGCAGAGGAGGCAGAUCUCUGUGAGUUCGAGGACAACCUGGUCUACAGAGUGAGAUCCAGGACAGGCACCGAAACUAUACAGAGAAACCCUGAAGAUGGUGGCAGACCCCAACGGUCGGGUGCCCAACACUGGGCCCUCUAUUUAGAUGCCAGACCAAACCCCAGGUUCCUCAGUGCUUAUGGACAGGGUACAUACAAACUGGAGUUCCCACAGUUCUCACGACCCCCUGUCUCCCCAGGUUCAAUGAAUUUGCUUGAGUAGCUCACAGAAUUCAGAGAAUAACCUAUUCUGCUGUUUCAUUUAUAGUGAGUGUUAAAGGCUACAAAUGGCCCGAGGAUGCACAGUCGUUUUUGUCUACUAGACACAGACUAGAGUCACCUGGGAAGAGGGACCUCCAUCCUGUUAGCUCGUGAGCAUGUCUGCAGGGCAAUUUCAUUGACGUGGGAGGGCCCUGAACACUGUGAGCUGGGUCACCCCUGAGCAUGAUCCUGUGCAGCCUAAGAGAGCAAGCUGAACACGCCAUGGGAAGCAAGGAAAUGCACAGCAGUCCUCCAGCUCCUGCCUUGACUUCCUGCCUUGGCUCCCCUCGAUGAUUGAUUGUAACUUAUAAGGUGAAAUAACCCUUUUCUCCUCACAUUGCUUUGUCAUUGUGAAGGGGCCCCAAAAUAGCUUGACCGCACAGCAGCCGUGACAGACUUAGGGGCCUAGACACAGUUUCUGUGACAGGCUUACUGGCAGGCAACACCCAGAUCCAGGAAAAGCCUUAAGCUGAUACCACCCAGGGAUCUACCCAGGGGUGAGGAAGUACCUGAUAUCCCAAACAUUCCAACCAUUAGAUAGGGUGGCCAGAUGUCCUUGAGUCCAGCACACACCUAUUUUUUGUUUUACAGAUACCCCUAGACAAUUGUCAGCCAAUCAGGGUCCUGGACCCUGGAAAUCCCCUCACUCCAACCUCUGCUAUGAUAAAAAAACUCUGCCCCACCUGAGUUCAGGGCUCUCUGCUCUCACCGCUGUGUUGGACAGACAGAAGGACCAAGCUCUGGAGCUUAAAAUAAAGGCUCUUUGCUUUUACAUGCGGGA